UACCGUUGCCUCUCUCUCAUUUCAUCUUCACCAAAAUCCCCAAUUCUAAUUUCCAAACCCUAACUCUCUCUACUCCCUUUCUCGGCAAAGCCGACUCCUCAAACGGAAAGGUCGACUCGAAACUCUUUCAAUUCGGCUCCUCCUUCGUCACAGUCACCACUACCAUAUCGCCGACGCAGGCGGUGGCUACCUACUAAGGCGACCUUCGAUUUUUCUCUCCGGGACGGGGUGGCGAUCCUUCGCGCCAGGGUUAUCGGCGCGAUUCCUAGCCGCCGCCACCAGACCGGGCGCCAUCCGAAACUUGCCUUCCGGCGAAUCCCCCUCGCCCUUGCUUGACAAAUUUCGCGGCUCUCCGCCUCGGCCUCCGUCGCUUCGCGCAGCUGUCCUCGGAGUAGGGCGGAGGGUAUCGUCGUCGAGCUGCCGUCAACGCGCCUUCGGCUCAUCUCCAACCCCCCGGUGCUCUCGGCACGGCCGGCGCAUACUCAGUCGCUCCACCGCCGCUCCACCACUCCUUUAAGCAAAGACGUUCCUGUCAUGGUGCGGUCGGCAUAGCUGACGCCGCUGCUGUGUCCCAGCCGUCGUCGGGUCGGCCGUCGUACCAAGCUAAGUCUCUACACUCCUUUCUCAAUUCGUUUGAUUAAGGGAUGUUUAGUGUUUAGAGGGUUCAUUCGUACCCGGUGGUUCUGGAAUAAUGUAUUGCUAGACUUGGACUGAUUAUUAUGUGGAUUUGAUGUUAAAUCUCGCGGUCUUGUUGGUAAAGGGCAGAUUCUAUGCUCGCCUAUGCGUGAUAUCUUGUCACGGUUAGCCAGUGGCUUGCGAGACUACUGGCAUAUGGUGCUGCUAACUAUUUUACUCGUUCUCCUAUAUAAUGUUCAUGCUUAUGUUUCUUCUGAAACUACGGGUUCUUAUGCUUGAGAAGUCUACAUGAUGCUAUAACUUGAUUAACUGAGUUUGAAGGGGAUUAAGGUUACCUUCACUAAACUUGUGCUGCUAUUUCUUAUCUCUGUCCUUGUUUAUCCCUCACUUCCUCUUGCUGCUUCGGUUUCCCUCUCUCUUGACUGACUGUAUUGCGAUUGUUUUUGUGAUGAUGAGGGAGGAAGAAGCUGAGGCCUAUUUAUACUCGUUUUCUAACUGAAAGCCUGUGAAAGGCUGGUGUACUGGGCUGAAAAGUAGUCCUUGUUGGACUGUGUAGUGACUGUUUCCUAUGCAAAAAUUUGCAGGGAUGUACUCGUGAUGGUUGAGCCAAUGGCUCCUGGUUGUGCUCUGAUAUCAUAACUGAUCUUUUGUGCUUUAAUUCCUGCAUUCCCUUGCUGCACAUUUAACUGCAUUUGGCUUUAUUUGAGGUUUAGUACUUGGCUUAUUUAUGGGCUUUCGUCCCUUGUGGCAGGUGCACACAGGAGGUGGCAUUGUGUGGCUAAUUCCUUGACCAUGGCAGGUCUAAAUGGGGGUGUACGAGCUGCUAUCUGCAGCCUUGCAUGGUGCAACUGUUGGAGAGGGAUCGGUUGGCUGGACUUGCUCCUUUCGGCCAAGCUCUUUCUCACUUUUCUGAAAGGCAUUGGCAGCGCCCAACUCUAGCUGCCGAGGUUGCUCCCCUCGUGAUCUCGCCCUCUCGGGCUUUCUGGAAUCUGGGCCGAGACGGCCUAGUGAUGAAGGUCGACAUAGUCGCUAGGGGUCUUGAGUUGUAAUAGCGUAGUUCGACUUAACUUUCUUUCCAACAUGUACGCAAAACUCGUUAAUAGUUGGUGUGUAUUUCUUUCUAGCAUGUGUAACUCAUUAGCUUGUAAUUCUUUAUAUUGUAUUUAUUGAUUUUUAUUCAAGAAAUAAAAAUACAUUUUUAUUCUUUAUCAAA